rnacentral:rRNA from 2 species
CGAAAGUCAGAGGUUCGAAGGCGAUCAGAUACCGCCCUAGUUCUGACCGUAAACGAUGCCACCUGACGAUCCGCCAGGGUUACUACCAUGACUCGGCGGGCAGCCCCCGGGAAACCCAAGCCUUCGGGUUCCGGGGGAAGUAUGGUUGCAAAGCUGAAACUUAAAGGAAUUGACGGAAGGGCACCACCAGGAGUGGAGCCUGCGGCUUAAUUUGACUCAACACGGGGAACCUCACCCGGCCCGGACACCGCGAGGAUUGACAGAUUGAGAGCUCUUUCUCGAUUCGGUGGGUGGUGGUGCAUGGCCGUUCUUAGUUGGUGGAGCGAUUUGUCUGGUUAAUUCCGAUAACGAACGAGACUCUAGCCGGUUAAGUAGCCCGAGCGGUUUUUGAUCUUUGCCGUCCGUCCCCGGCUUCUCGUCGACGGUCAACCUGACCGUGUGCGCGCUCGCCUUCGCGGCGUCGCGUGCGCGGGAGGGGGAAGCCGCUCGAGACCGGGGCGGAGCAUAACCGAAGGCCGCCGGCUUUUAAGGAAGCUUCUUAGAGGGACGAGCGGCGUUCAGCCGCGCGAGAUUGA